UACAGAGGGUGCAAGCGUUGUUCGGAAUUAUUGGGCGUAAAGCGCGCGCAGGCGGUCCUUUAAGUCUGAUGUGAAAGCCCACGGCUCAACCGUGGAGGGUCAUUGGAAACUGGGGGACUUGAGUGCAGAAGAGGAAAGCGGAAUUCCACGUGUAGCGGUGAAAUGCGUAGAGAUGUGGAGGAACACCAGUGGCGAAGGCGGCUUUCUGGUCUGUAACUGACGCUGAGGCGCGAAAGCGUGGGGAGCAAACAGG
rnacentral:rRNA from 1 species